GACACCGUUUUGAUAUUAUUUUCCUCAAAAAAAAAAAAGGGAAAGACAAAGCUGCAUUCAUACGACAUCGUUUUUCGGCUGUUUCAAUUUUGUUUUCGUUUCCUUUCCUGAUCCUCGACGAAAAAAAAAAAAAAAAAACUAAAAUCAAAUUUUCCAGGAUAAAUUAUUGGGUUUUUUUUUUCUUCCCAAUUCUCAGAGGUUUCUCUCACUUUCUCUUCAACCAACCAGUGAAUUUACCAUGGAUAAGGAAGGACAAGAACAAGAAAAAUCUCCGACUCUAGCUGACAAAAACUUCCUUCUUUUCUUCAAACCCAAUAGAACCCCUAAACCCUCUACUCUGAUUCCCAAACUCUCAAAAAGACCAUGCUGAGAUCGGCCUUCAAUCCUUCCAUCCGAUCCCAACCUCAACCUGGGCCGAGAGUUUAAGAUGAUAAUACUUGGAAUGGGAAAAAGGCUUGAUUUUCAGCUGUUUGGUUGUUAGUGAAUGCAGUUAGAGAAGCUAUAUACUGUGAUGCUAAAGAACUGUUGGAAGCCUUGAUGGUUGUAAUUAAGGAUGAGAUGUACAAAAAAUUACCAUAGUAAGGCUCCUGGACACUCCUCCAUUGAAUUUUGAAAUUACUGAGAAAACUUGGAUGCUAACUAGCUUGAUGAUAUGGAAGUUUGACUAAAAUUCAGUGAUUAAGCAGCGAGUAUGAGAAGACUGCACAUGGCCCUGAUAAGCCCCUGAUCUAGGUAGCCUAGGGACUACGUUCAUCGUGUUGGGUGAACUGCAAGAGCUGGCAGAGGAUUGGCUGUGAGCUUUGUUACUGAGGUGAGUAUGAAGUGGUAGUUGACAUUGAAACUGUCUUUUUGCGUGGUUUUUGGAGUGCUGCUGCACUCUGAACACCAAUUUACAAAGGUUUCUCUAUAAGUCUUAAAGAAUACUAACUUUAGAAAUUAGAACUAUCUAAGGACUUGGCUACUCCAUUCCCUGCCUGCCAGGAAUUUGACUGUUUGCUUCAAAAUUAUAAAGACCUUAGGUUACUAAUUUUUUUUUUUUUUUUACACAUACAAUGCACUGAAGGGGAUAGCAUGCUCCUUUGCAUGUGUUGUAUGCCUUGAAGAGGAGUGUCAUAUCCAUAGAACAAUCCGUAGCUGACAUUCCAUGCAUGUUUCCUGUGAUAUCUGCUCUAUAUGUGGGGACUGCAGAAAUUCUAACAUAGAUUAAGAACUUACUGACAAAAGGGUGUCUGUUACCUUCACUCUUCUCUAUUACCCUCCUCUCAAUGCCAAUUCAUUUAAUGUAAAGAAUUUGUUUUAAUGUCCUCAUAUAUAAAGAAUGUAACAUGGUUUAUGGAUUGUCUUCUCUUUUUCUGAUCUUCUAGAGAGGCUUUGAGGAGUAUGAGUCCUCUAGUUCUUCAUUUGCGUGCUUGCAUUGGUUACUAGAGUAAUGUAAUUUUGGAGAAUGAUGUCGGAUCUUUUUCAUGAAAUAGAAGCUGAAUUGGGAAAACAAUUGGAAAAUUUUGAAUGCAAAGAGAAAGGUAUGAUCAGUUAGAUUCUUCUUUUGGGUGGUUUUUUCUGCUUGAAUUCCAGAUCUAACAUUUAGACAACUGUCACAAGUCAGCCUUGGUAGGAUUGGCUGUGUGAAGUGCAUAUGCAAUUGCAUGUAAUGCUCUAAGGUUGAGAAUAGAUGAUAAAUCCUGUUAGAACUGUGCCAUAAAUGGUUUUAGGAAGCAGAGUUUGUGCUACUGAACUAAUUAUGUUGAGAGAGAGAGAGAGAGAGGAAUAAAUAAAAAGUAUUGGGUAUGUUAUGGAAGAUAGUAUGAAAUUGGCUGGCAGGUAGGUAUGUAAUGCAAAACGUGUGGCAACAAUGAAGAUGAUUGAGGAGAAA